CACGUAGGGGGCAAGCGUUGUCCGGAUUUAUUGGGCGUAAAGAGCUCGUAGGCGGCUUGUUACGUCGUUCGUGAAAACUUGGGGCUCAACCCCAAGCUUGCGGUCGAUACGGGCAGGCUAGAGUUCGGUAGGGGAGACUGGAAUUCCUGGUGUAGCGGUGAAAUGCGCAGAUAUCAGGAGGAACACCGGUGGCGAAGGCGGGUCUCUGGGCCGAUACUGACGCUGAGGAGCGAAAGCGUGGGGAGCGAACAGG
rnacentral:rRNA from 1 species